CAGCCGCCGCGGGAACACCAGCAGCCCAAGUGGUGGUCGCGUUUAUUGGGCCUAAAGCGCUCGUAGCCUGGCCGGUAAGUUCCCCGUGAAAUCGGGUCGCCCAACGAUUCGGCUUGCGGGGAAUACUGUCGGUCUUGGGGCCGGGAGACGCCGAGGGUACUCCGGGGGUAGCGGUGAAAUGCUGUAAUCCUCGGGGGACUACCAGUGGCGAAGGCGCUCGGCGAUAACGGGCCUGACGGUGAGGGGCGAAAGCUGGGGGCGCGAACGGGAUUAGAUACCCCAGUAGUCCCUGUCUCUUAUU
rnacentral:rRNA from 1 species